rnacentral:rRNA from 1 species
GGGGAAUUGUUCGCAAUGGGCGCAAGCCUGACGACGCAACGCCGCGUGGAGGAUGAAGGUCUUCGGAUUGUAAACUCCUGUUGCCUGGGACGAAUGGCUCCAACCUAAUACGUUGGAGUGUGACGGUACCAGGUGAGGAAGCCCCGGCUAACUCUGUGCCAGCAGCCGCGGUAAUACAGAGGGGGCAAGCGUUGUUCGGAAUUACUGGGCGUAAAGGGCGCGUAGGCGGCCUUCUAAGUCGGACGUGAAAGCCCCAGGCUUAACCUGGGAACUGCGUCCGAUACUGGGAGGCUUGGAUUCGGGAGAGGGAUGUGGAAUUCCAGGUGUAGCGGUGAAAUGCGUAGAUAUCUGGAGGAACACCGGUGGCGAAGGCGGCAUCCUGGACCGAGAUCGACGCUGAGGCGCGAAAGCUAGGGGAGCAAA